AUUGACAGUUUCUUUCUUUCAGGACUUGGGAUAUGUUUCACCAUUCUCUCCUAGCCUGUAGGGUUUCUCUUGAACUGGGGAAUCCUCCGAAGAUUUCAAAAAUACAGCAGGAAAAGAUGUGACAAGCCACUGGAAAAUCUAUCUGAUGACUAAGAAACACUGCUCUAACCUGACAAUAUAACACACAGUGAAUAGAAAGAAGCAAGCAAAAAGAAUGAAGAUCAAGUCUAAUAUCUGAUACGAUAGUCUGAGUGGAUUCUCUCCUACAUUAUGCCACAGACUUUUCCUCUAUAGUUAAAAAGAAGUGGUCCUUUGACUAGAAACUUAUUAUCCCUUAAAAGAAAUAUUCAGAAGGGCACACCUUUGAAAUUUUGAUAUAUUACAAAACUGGUUUAU